rnacentral:rRNA from 1 species
GAGACUCUCGGCAACGGAUAUCUCGGCUCUCGCAUCGAUGAAGAACGUAGCGAAAUGCGAUACUUGGUGUGAAUUGCAGAAUCCCGUGAACCAUCGAGUCUUUGAACGCAAGUUGCGCCCGAAGCCGUAUGGCCGAGGGCACGUCUGCCUGGGUGUCACGC